GAAAAGAAAACUACAGGCUAAUAUCCCUGAUGAAUAUAGAUGCAGAAGUCCUCAAUAGAAUACCAACAAACUAAAGCUCAUACAGCAUGAACAAUGGGAAAAUAAAAAAAUUAUAAAAAAAUAAAAAUAAAAAAAAAUAAAAUUUAGUUAAGGACUUAAAUAGACAUUUCUCCAAAGAAGAUAUACAAGUGGUUAACAGGUAUAUGAAGAAAAUGUUCAAUAUCACUAAUUAUCAGAGAAAUGUUAAUCAAAACCAUAGUAAGGUAUCACUUCAUACUUGUUAGGAUGGUUAUUAUGAAAAGAAAAAAACGCCAACAAAAGACAACAAAUGUUGAUGAGAAUGUGGAGAAAUUGGAACCUUUGUGCACUGUUGGUAGGAAGGCAAAAUAGUACAGUCACUGUGGAAAAUAGUAUGGAGGUUCUUUGAAAAAUUAAUAACAGAACUAUUGCAUGAUUCAGCAGUCCCACUUGUGAUUGGUAAUUUAUUCAGAAGAAUUGAAAUCAAUCUCAAAGAGAUAUUAUACUCCUGUGUUCAUUACAGCACUAUUUCCAGUAGCCCUGAUACGAAAAUAAUCUCAAUAUACAUCAACAGACGAAUGGAUUGUGUAAUAUUGAACAUUACUAUUGAAAAAAAUCCACAUAUACAUGGACUCAUGGAAUUCAAACCCAUGUUAUUCAAGGAUCAAGUAUCAUCAAAGCAACAAUUAAUAAGUAUAUGACACAAAAUAUCUAAUAAGAGAAUAUAUACAGAGAGUAUUUUAAGAAUCUUGGGGUUGAAACUCAGGAGGCCAUAAAGAAAAUACAGAAUUGACAACAUACAUAUUGAAGAUUUAUAUGUGGCAAAGGCUCCAAGAAAUGGCAUUUAAAAAUAAACUAUGAAAAAAUACUAGCAAAUGGUGUACCAAAUCCUUGAUAGCCACCACAUAUAAAGAACUAUUACAAAUCAAUAAGAAAAAGAGAAACUCUGAAAACUAAGGUAUAUGAACAGGUAAGUAAAAAAAUAUUUACAGAUAUUAAAUUCCAUCAAUAAGGAAAGAAAUGAACAAUUAAAAGAGUAAUAAAAUAGUACUUUUCAUCCAUAAAAGUACUGAAAUGUAAAAAAUAUUUUAACUGUUUGGGGACAGUUCUUCACAAGUCUCUCACAUUUCUGCAUAUCUUAUAAGCAGGGGCACUGACAUACUCUGUUCCAGACUCUCUUUUCAGGGGUAUCUAUACAGCAAACAUUAUUGACAGAUAUAGAGAGGUCUCCCUCUGGAGUAGAGGGCAAGUUUGUUUACUAUCCCACAUAAUAAAGAUAAUGUCUCUCUCCCGGGCAAAGUUUUGGCAGGUUUACUUGCAGCCUAUUAUGAAAGAGUCAGGUUCCCUGAGCUCAGAGUUCACCCCCUGUAAUGUCACCUACUGCAUGUGCUAGAAUCGUCUGGCCUUCAUCAAAUCACCCUGUGGAAAAUAGAGGUCAAGGAAGUGGCACAAGAAAAUGAUUAUCUUCUGGCUACUGUUAUUGGUGUGCUUUGUCUCUGACCCUUGCAAGUAGGGUAAAACUCAGCCUUGACAAUUCCUGGGAAUGAUAGAGCAACAGGAGGCAGCAUUCUUAAAAUCGUAUAUGUUAACUCUUAUAACAACCUUUUGAAGGGAAAUAUGGAAUAGUUUAUCAUAAUUUAAAACAUAUAUAUCCUUUGACCCAGCAGUUACACAUUUAAGCAUUCACACUAAUGAACUAAACGAAUGUGCAAAUAAAAACAGAUGAAUGGAUCUCAUUGUUUAUCCAUUCCAAAGGCAAUAGUUUACAUCUAUUAACCCCAGACUCCCAGUCCAUCAAACCAACUAUAAUGGAAAAAAUUAAAAUCAUUAAAAAAUAAGUAUUGUAAAAAAUACAAUAAAAAACAGAGUUAAAAAAGCAGAUGCAUGGAUAAGAUGUAUUACAUACAUACAUUGGAUUAUUAUUCAGACUUUUAAAAGGAGGAAAUUCUGCAAUAUGCAACGACAGGAUAAAUCUCAAGGACAUUAUGCUAAGUGAAAUAAGCCAAUGACAGAAAGCAAAAUACCGCAUGAUUCCACUUAUAUGAGACGUUUUAAAAUAGUAAAAUUCAUAGAAACAAAGAGUGGAAUGAUGCUUGCCAGAGGCUGGGAUAAAGGAAACUUGAAGGAUUACUAAUCAAUGGACAUAUACUUUCAUUAAGCAAGAUGAUUAAGUUUUAGAGAUCUGCUAUACAACAUUUUACUUGUAGUCAAUAAUGCUAUAUUAUAAACUUAAAAAUUUAAGAGGGUAUGCUAUAAAAUUGGGUUGUGAUGAUCAUUGUACAACUAUAAAUGUAAUAAAUUUAUUGAGUGAUAUAAAAAUAUUUAAGAGGGUAAUCUCAUGUUGAGUGUCCUUACCACAAUUAAAUAAAAGCUUAAAAAAGGAAAAAAUACGUAAAAAUAUGUAAAAGUUUAAAAAAAGAAAAAAAUAUACAUAAAAAUUUUUUGUUAUGUAUAUUUUACCACAUUAUAAGAAAGAAGGAGAAACCAAGACUCUUCAAGGAGCAUAAUCAUUAAGGAUAAUAAAAUACAGGAAUAACAAUACCAAAAAUAAUAACAGUAGUAGCUAACAUUUAGUAUAUGUUAUGGACCAGACACUAUGAUGAAUGUAUUGGCAAACUUUUUUUUUUGUAACAGACAGUAAAUAUUUUUGGCUUUGCAGUUCUCAAACAUGUUCUUUUGCACAUUAAUCUUGGUUUUUUGUUUGAUGAUUUUGUUUUUACAUACUUUUUAAAAUGUAAAAGCAAUUCUUAGUCUAAGGACUGUACAGAAAAUUAUUUGCAGGCUGGAUUUAGCCUGGGCUCACAGUUUGCCUAGCCUAGUCUUGACCUUGAGUUUUUGACCUCGGCGCAUAUGACUCCUUAACAAAAUUCUAAGCAAUUAAAAAAUAAGUAUUGUAAAAAAUACAAUAAAAAACAGAGUUUUUUAUUGAAAAGUUUGUAGAAAAAAAUCAAAGGCAAAUGUAAGCUGAGAAUUGUCAUAUUUCCAUGGCUUUUGUUGCUGUAGCAAGGAUAAUACCACAACAUCAGCGAAAUAAUUUAAAUUAUCUACCAUCCUAGCUCUAUAACCAAGUGUUAGGGUACUUUCCAAUCCUGGCCUUCAUGCAGCAUACUUUAAGGAUACUAAUUUUUAAUGUAAUUUCAGCAUGUAAAAAUAACUUCAUCAUUCCUAUUUUUAAAAUCUUAUCAUUUUAAAUAAUCUAGUAGACUUGAAAAUUUUAUCAGUUGGAUUCCAGUCAUGCAGCUUCAUUAUAGCUGUCACUUUUUUUCACUUCUUUUUCUCUCAUCAAGUAACAUUUGAGCAGCUUUUUUCAGCCAUUGACUAUAAGGCAAAAGAGAAUAGAAUUCCACAGAGGACAUGAGUUUAAAAAAAAAAAAAAAAAAAAA
rnacentral:lncRNA from 1 species